CACAGCGGUGUCUGAGUGACGCUCCGCCCGCCCGUUUGUCCUUUAAAGCACGGAAUAGAGAGAAGAGUUGCUCAUAAUCCUGUUGCUGCUGGGAUUGUGCGAGGAGCUAGCACGUCUGGCAGGCCACUGUCGCAGGCGUACGCUGACUUCCCGGGAUUCAUUCUGCACUCUUCAUCUGUGGAGGCUCCCUUUGGUCUACAGAGUGAGUGUACCAGAAAACUGGGUUUUGUUUUUUUUUCCUCUUUCUAUAUUUCUCACUUCC
rnacentral:lncRNA from 1 species